CCUGUGAACUGUAAGAUGCUUAGUGUUUCGGCACGGCAUCUGCCCUUUAUAAACAAUUAAUGUAACAAAUGUAGUCUUAUUAUAAUCAAUAAAACUUUCAACAACGGAUCUCUUGGCUCUCGCAUCGAUGAAGAACGCAGCGAAAUGCGAUAAGUAAUGUGAAUUGCAGAAUUCAGUGAAUCAUCGAAUCUUUGAACGCACCUUGCGCUCCUUGGUAUUCCGAGGAGCAUGCCUGUUUGAGUGUCAUGAAAAUAUCAACCAAGACUUGGGUUUUUGCUCUUGUUCUUGGCUUGGAAUUGGGUGCUUGCAAUCUUUACAGAUGGCUCACCUUAAAAGAAUUAGCUGGAUCUGUUCUGAGAAUUGGUUUGACUUGGCGUAAUAAGUAUUUCGCUAAGGACAUCUUCGGAUGGCCAAUACUCUUAACGAAUGUCCGCUUUCUAAUCCUGUUUCCUUUGGAGACUAUACUUUUAUGAUCUGGCCUCAAAUCAGG
rnacentral:rRNA from 1 species